UGAGUAAUGCCUAGGAAUCUGCCUGGUAGUGGGGGACAACGUCUCGAAAGGGACGCUAAUACCGCAUACGUCCUACGGGAGAAAGCAGGGGACCUUCGGGCCUUGCGCUAUCAGAUGAGCCUAGGUCGGAUUAGCUAGUUGGUGAGGUAAUGGCUCACCAAGGCGACGAUCCGUAACUGGUCUGAGAGGAUGAUCAGUCACACUGGAACUGAGACACGGUCCAGACUCCUACGGGAGGCAGCAGUGGGGAAUAUUGGACAAUGGGCGAAAGCCUGAUCCAGCCAUGCCGCGUGUGUGAAGAAGGUCUUCGGAUUGUAAAGCACUUUAAGUUGGGAGGAAGGGCAGUAACUUAAUACGUUGCUGUUUUGACGUUACCGACAGAAUAAGCACCGGCUAACUCUGUGCCAGCAGCCGC
rnacentral:rRNA from 1 species